AUUGUUUAAAAGCAACACGAUUUAAAUUUUUGUAACUGAUUUAAAUAUCUAGUUAAUUUUAUGUGUACCAACAAAUUGCAAUAUAUUAAAAUAUUUAUUACACUGACAAAGGGUGACAUUUAAGUAAUAAUAGUAGUUCUUAUGAACAUUUUAAUAAAAGAAGAAUAUAAUUUUAGGUUAUGUUUUGAUUAUGCCAUGUGUUGAUUUUUAAAUGUAAGUAAAUGGACAAAUGAUUUAUAAUUUUCAUAAACAAGUUCUUAAUUGUAUAAAAAAUCGUUCAUCUUUGCUUAGUACUCAGUUUUAUUCGACACAAUUAAAAUCUGCUAUGGAAAACAUACUAAAACCUCCUAAUGUCCGAGGCAUGCAGGUAUUGAAUAAAGACCUAAUAAAAAAAGAUAUAGAAGUACCUUAUUUAUCAUUGAAGAAAGACAACUUAAAUAAAGUCUUGCCAGCUCUAACGAAAUACUUACUUAAAAUUAAAAAGUUUAAACCAGUUCAACACAUUGAGGAGAAUAAAGUGGAUGUAUGUUUGUCUCCUGAAUUCAUUAAAGAUUGGACUGGUUUAUCAGAUGAAGUGAAAACGGUGUUAGAAGAUGUACAUAUUACUGAAAAUGAUCUUAAAACAAAGCAUGUAGAAUUAACUUACGACAAUUUUUCUGCCGAAGAUUUACUUAAAGCUGUCCUUCCGACUGAGAAAGAUGGUUUAUCAAGUUUUUCCCAGAUGGGCCACAUAGUACACAUAAACCUCAGAGAACAUCUUUUCCCAUUCAAAAGUAUAAUUGCUGACAUUCUUUACGACAAAAUUCCUGGAUGUAAGUCAGUAGUAAACAAAAUAAAUGUAAUAGACAACACAUACAGGAAUUUUAGUAUGGAAGUAUUAAAAGGAGACAAUAAUAUGAUUACUACAGUCAAAGAAAAUACGUGUAGCUUCAAAUUUGAUUUUUCUAAAGUCUACUGGAAUUCUCGACUAUGUACUGAACAUGAAAGGAUUGUUAAAAAAAUUAACAGCAGCGAUGUACUUUUUGACGUUUUUGCCGGUAUAGGUCCUUUUUCAAUACCUGCAGCUAAAAAGAAAUGCUACGUUUAUGCCAACGAUUUGAAUCCUGAAUCUUUUAAAUGGCUUGAAUACAAUUCCAAAACAAAUAAGAUUUCUGUGGAUUAUUUUAAAUCUUUUAAUAAAGACGGAGCAGAUUUUAUAAAGACUGAGUUUAAACAAUUUUUAACAGCUCAUUUAAAGAAGGAUCAGAACGUUUUUAUUACUAUGAACCUGCCAGCAAUGGCUGUUGAAUUCCUUAAAUAUUUUGAAGGGUUGUUUAGUAGUGACGAAUUACCAGACUUCAAAAAUGUACCAGUAAUAUUUGUUUAUUGUUUUGUUAAAGGAGAAAACUUCAUCGAGCUUGGUAGACAGCUUGUUUUAGAUAAUUUUAAUUGUAGUAAUAGUGAUAUUGUUGAUGUAUUUAGGGUAAGAACUGUUAGUAAUUUUAAGGAAAUGAUGAGGGUGACUAUAAAGUUACAAAAAAGUAUUUUGACAGGAAACCAGGGGAAGAGGAAAUUGGAGGAAGACUGGAAUCAAGAUACAAAAAGAAACUGUGUAAAAGAUCAAGAUGGGAAAGAACAAGAAGAAAGUAGGUAAUGUUUUCAAGGUAGCAGGUGCUAAAAGUUUGAAGCUUAAAGCCAAGGCCAAAGCAGUCAAUAGUGAUUUAAAGCAGAUAAAUGUCAAGAAUAAAAGCAAAAUAGCCGAAAUAGACAAUGCUUUAAAGAGCCUGGAGAGUAAAAUGCGCGUUCCAGAAGUGCCAGUACCGAAGGAACCAACUAUUACAAAGAAAAAGCUUCCUAGCACCAACUCUUUAGAAACAGAUAAGAAAGCUGAAGAAACUCUAAAAGAUUUAGAUAAUUUUCAGUUUUGAAUGUAUAUACUUGUAAAUAAAGAAUAGUUUGAUAAA